rnacentral:rRNA from 1 species
CAGUAGCCGCGGUAAUACGAAGGGUGCAAGCGUUACUCGGAAUUACUGGGCGUAAAGCGUGCGUAGGUGGUGGUUUAAGUCCGUUGUGAAAGCCCUGGGCUCAACCUGGGAAUUGCAGUGGAUACUGGGUCACUAGAGUGUGGUAGAGGAUAGUGGAAUUUCCGGUGUAGCAGUGAAAUGCGUAGAGAUCGGAAGGAACAUCUGUGGCGAAGGCGACUAUCUGGGCCAUUACUGACACUGAGGCACGAAAGCGUGGGGAGCAAACAGGAUUAGAUACCCGUGUAGUCCCUGUCUCUUAUAC